rnacentral:rRNA from 1 species
ACAUGGAAGAUGGGUGCACCAGAAGCGCCCGGGUUUUGUUCUUGAGGUUUCUCGAGAAUAGAAUCCGGCACCAAGGUGAAACCAUUGACUGGGUCG